rnacentral:misc_RNA from 1 species
AUAUAUCAACCUCUUCAGCUUUGCUUGUCGAGUGUUGGAUGUGGGGGUAUUCUUCUUGCUGGUCUCUCUUCGAGGUCAGCUCCCCUGAAAUAUAUUAGCGGGACAAUUUGUUGACCGUUCAUUGGUGUGAUAACUAUCUACGCUAUUGAACGUGAGGCAGGUUCAGCUUCUAACAGUCCAUUGACUUGGACAAAUCUUUCAUUA